rnacentral:rRNA from 1 species
AUUGAACGCUGGCGGCAUGCCUUACACAUGCAAGUCGAACGGCAGCACGGGAGCAAUCCUGGUGGCGAGUGGCGAACGGGUGAGUGAUAUAUCGGAACGUGCCCAGUCGUGGGGGAUAACGCAGCGAAAGCUGUGCUACUACCGCAUACGAUCUAUGGAUGAAAGCGGGGGAUCGCAAGACCUCGCGCGAUUGGAGCGGC